UACAGAGGGGGCAAGCGUUGUUCGGAAUUACUGGGCGUAAAGGGCGCGUAGGCGGCCCGCUAAGUCGAACGUGAAAUCCCCGAGCUCAACUCGGGAACUGCGUCCGAUACUGGCGGGCUUGAAUCCGGGAGAGGGAUGCGGAAUUCCAGGUGUAGCGGUGAAAUGCGCAGAUAUCAGGAGGAACACCAACGGCGAAGGCAGCUUGCUGGGACGUUACUGACGCUGAGACGCGAAAGCGUGGGGAGCAAACAGG
rnacentral:rRNA from 1 species